rnacentral:tRNA from 1 species
CGGGAUGUGGCGCAGUUUGGUAGCGCGGUGCGUUUGGGGCGCAAUGGUCGCAGGUUCGAAUCCUGUCAUCCCGAC